CUUCCUUUCCCCCUUCCAGACAAUUAAAACAUCAUCAAUAUAUCUUCUCCAUUGUACCAGGUUCGCACCAAAUGGGUUAUUCUGCCAAAUAUUCUGAAGUUCCCAAUCUGCCACAAAAAUAUUGGCAUAACUUGGUGCGAACCUGUUACCCAUGGCUGUUCCACAUAUCUGAAGGUAAUAAACCUCAUCGAACCAAAAGAAAUUAUGGAACAGGAUAAACCUUAUAAGAGUCAAAAUAAACGAAAUUUGUUCUGUGUUCAUAUCAGGAUCUUUCAUUAAAAUCCUAUGGAUGGCAUCAAUACCCUUCUCAUGAUCUAUAACUGUGUACAAAGAUGCCACAUCCACAGUCGCCCAAAGGUAAUUUUCAUCCCUAAUGAUCUGAGCUGAAUCUUUAACGUACGAUCUUGUUUGUGUCACAUAUUUCUGAAGAAAAAAGUCGAUAUAUUGGGAAAUAUUACUAGUCAUAGA